rnacentral:lncRNA from 1 species
AAAGAAGAGGAAUAAAGUGACCUCUCUCAACACUCAGCAACACACUCUCUCCCAAAAAAGAAAAGAAAAGGAAAAAACGAAAUAAAGAGAAGGAAUGUGAGAGAAACCCCUUCUCCAUCACCUUCACAACACUCAUAACCGUGUCUAUUUACCUUUUUAAUUCACCAUACCAAUCCCUCAAUCCUCACCGCCGUUCACCCCAAACUUUGUCCAUACAACCUCCGUCGCGGGUUCGUC